AUCAGGUAAAGCAAAGCUAUAAUUUAUUCGCUUAUGCUAAAGUGUUCCUAAUAAUUCAGUUAAACUCAGCAAGGGUUGCAUUUCCCCGCUUGUGUGUCUGCAAAGCGCUGCAGUUUUGCAGUGACAGCAAUGCAGCAAAGACCGCAAUCGCCUUGUUCUUGGCACUGGAUGGAUGCAUCACGUUUCCCGUCCUGCUUUGGAGCCAGUGGCUGCAGCUGCUGCUUUGUGCCUCGUGGGAUGCUGCGGGUCGCUGCAGGGUUGUUGGGGACUGCAGGCCACUACAGAAGUGCUGGAGGCAUUGCCCGAGCAGUGAGAUAA
rnacentral:lncRNA from 1 species